GACGUAGGGCGCGAGCGUUGUCCGGAUUUAUUGGGCGUAAAGAGCUCGUAGGCGGCUUGUCGCGUCGAAUGUGAAAACCCACAGCUCAACUGUGGGCUUGCAUUCGAUACGGGCAGGCUAGAGUUCGGUAGGGGAGACUGGAAUUCCUGGUGUAGCGGUGAAAUGCGCAGAUAUCAGGAAGAACACCCGUGGCUAAGGCGGCUCUCUAGUACGUGACUGACGCUGAGACGCGAAAGCGUGGGGAGCGAACAGG
rnacentral:rRNA from 1 species